rnacentral:piRNA from 1 species
UGCCCUGUUGUGAGUGGUCGUCCCCUGUC